rnacentral:rRNA from 1 species
UACGUAGGCAGCAAGCGUUGUUCGGAGUUACUGGGCGUAAAGGGUGCGUAGGCGGCUUCUUAAGUCUGUUGUGAAAUCUCCCGGCUUAACUGGGAGGGUGCAGCGGAAACUAGAAUGCUAGAGGGUGGGAGAGGUAAGCGGAAUUCCUGGUGUAGCGGUGAAAUGCGUAGAUAUCAGGAGGAACACCUGUGGUGUAGACAGCUUACUGGACCACUUCUGACGCUGAGACACGAAAGCGUGGGUAGCAAACAGG